GACUAACUAUGUGCCAGCAGUCGCGGCAAGACAUAGGUGGCAAACAUUAUCCGGAAUUAUUGGGCGUAAAGGGUGCGUAGGCGGCAUGAUAAGUUGCUGGUGGGAAAUCAAGGCUCAACCUUGUGGAAGCUAGCAAUACUGUCAAGCUAGAGGGCAGAAGAGGUUAACGGAACUCUAUGUGGAGCGGUAAAAUGUGUAGAUAUAUAGAAGAACAUCAAUAAAGGCGAAGGCAGUUAACUAGUCUGUCCCUGACGUUGAGGCACGAAAGCGUGGGGAGCAAAACGGAUUAGAUACCCGUGUAGUCCACGCCCUAAACGAUGAGUACUAGAUAUUGGAAAUUAAUUUUCAGUGUCGCUAGUUAACACGUUAAGUACUCCGCCUGGGUAGUACGCUCGCAAGAGUGAAACUCAAAGGAAUUGACGGGGACUCGCACAAGCAGUGGAGCAUGUGGUUUAAUCCGAUACAACGCGUAGAACCUUACCAAGGCUUGACAUGUUCGGCAAAACUAGAGAAACCUAGCGGAGGUUAUCCGAACACAGGUGCUGCAUGGCCGUCGUCAGUUCGUGCCGUGAGGUGUAUGGUUAAGUCCUAUAACGAACGCAACCCUUAGACUUAGUUACCAGCAUUAAGUUGGGGACUCUAGGUCGACUGCCUGAGUAAUCAGGAGGAAGGAGAGGAUGACGUCUGGUCGUCAUGGCCCUUAUGCCUUGGGCGACACACGUGCUACAAUGGUUAGUACAAAGCGUUACCAACCCGCGAGGGGGAGUCAAUCGCAAAAAGCUAACCUCAGUUCGGAUUGGAGGCUGCAACUCGCCUCCAUGAAGUCGGAAUUGCUAGUAAUCGCAAAUCAGCCAUGUUGCGGUGAAUACGUUAUCGAGUCUUGUACACACCGCCCGUCAAAUCACGAAAAUCGGUAGUACCUAAAACCAGUUGGUUAACCCGCAAGGGAUGCGGCUGACAAGGGUAGGAUUGGUAAUCGGGGUUAA
rnacentral:rRNA from 1 species